GGACAAGUGACAUUUAUUGUCUAGAUCUAGAAUCAUGGACAUGGUACGAAAUAGUACCAGCAUCCAAUGUGCCAAUGGGAAGGUCGUGGCAUACCCUCACUGCAAUAUCUGACAGCGGUUUGUUUCUAUUUGGAGGACUGAGUAUAGACUGCAAACCAAUGAGCGAUGGCUGGGUAUUUGAUGUUGGGACGAAGAAAUGGAGGGAGUUUGAGCAUCCAUACAUGAACCAAACCAAGGUUGUGGCACACAGCAUGCCAAGGGAAAGACUCUGAUGUCAUUGUGUUUGGGGGUCGUUGCAACUACAUCCUUCGAGUAGACACAGUAAGUAUAAUGGAAACCACUCAAGG